UACGUAGGUGGCAAGCGUUGUCCGGAUUUAUUGGGCGUAAAGGGAGCGCAGGUGGUUUCUUAAGUCCGAUGUGAAAGCCCACGGCUCAACCGUGGAGGGUCAUUGGAAACUGGAAAACUUGAGUGCAGAAGAGGAAAGUGGAAUUCCAUGUGUAGCGGUAAAAUGCGCAGAGAUAUGGAGGAACACCAGUGGCGAAGGCGACUUUCUGGUCUGUUACUGACACUGAGGCUCGAAGGCGUGGGGAGCAAACAGG
rnacentral:rRNA from 1 species